rnacentral:rRNA from 1 species
AUGGGCGCAAGCUGAUGCAGCGACGCCGCGUGAGGGAUGGAGGCCUUCGGGUUGUAAACCUCUUUCGCCAGUGAAGCAGGCCUGUCCCUUUUGUGGGUGGGUUGACGGUAGCUGGAUAAGAAGCGCCGGCUAACUACGUGCCAGCAGCCGCGGUAAUACGUAGGGCGCGAGCGUUGUCCGGAAUUAUUGGGCGUAAAGAGCUCGUAGGCGGCUGGUCGCGUCUGUCGUGAAAUCCUCUGGCUUAACUGGGGGCUUGCGGUGGGUACGGGCCGGCUUGAGUGCGGUAGGGGAGACUGGAACUCCUGGUGUAGCGGUGGAAUGCGCAGAUAUCAGGAAGAACACCGGUGGCGAAGGCGGGUCUCUGGGCCGUUACUGACGCUGAGGAGCGAAAGCGUGGGGAGCGAACAGGAUUAGAUACCCUGGUAGUCCACGCCGUAAACGUUGGGCACUAGGUGUGGGGGGCCUUUUCCGGGUCUUCCGCGCCGUAGCUAACGCAUUAAGUGCCCCGCCUGGGGAGUACGGCCGCAAGGCUAAAACUCAAAGGAAUUGACGGGGGCCCGCACAAGCGGCGGAGCAUGCGGAUUAAUUCGAUGCAACGCGAAGAACCUUGCC